CCUACGGGAGGCAGCAGUAGGGAAUAUUGCUCAAUGGGGGAAACCCUGAAGCAGCAACGCCGCGUGGAGGAUGAAGGUUUUCGGAUUGUAAACUCCUUUUGUUAGAGAAGAUAAUGACGGUAUCUAACGAAUAAGCACUGGCUAACUCCGUGCCAGCAGCCGCGGUAAUACGGAGGGUGCAAGCGUUACUCGGAAUCACUGGGCGUAAAGAGCGCGUAGGCGGGUUAGCAAGUCAGAUGUGAAAUCCUAUGGCUUAACCAUAGAACUGCAUUUGAAACGGUUAUUCUAGAGUAUGGGAGAGGUAGGUGGAAUUCUUGGUGUAGCGGUAAAAUCCGUAGAGAUCAAGAGGAAUACUCAUUGCGAAGGCGACCUGCUAGAACGUCACUGACACUGAUGCGCGAAAGCGUGGGUAGCAAACAGGAUUAGAUACCCCUGUAGUC
rnacentral:rRNA from 1 species